UGCAAAUGAAGUCCAAUUAGAUGAGUCUGACUUUAAAAGCCUAGCCGUGCCGAAGUCAGAUACAUGAGCUUCAUAUUCUGAAUCUAACAAAACAUUGUUGCUCGAUAUGUCUCGAUGAAUUACAGGAGGUGAGCAAUCAUGGUGCAUAUACGAUAAAGCUUUAGCCACGCCUUUAAUAACGUUUAGCCUCACAAUCCAAUCUAAUCUUUCUGCUUCUUCGUCAUUGCAUAGAAUGUUUUGCAAACUCCCCUUUUCCAUAAACUCAUAAACCAAAAAUGAGUUCUCUGCAAAUGAACUGAAGCCAUAAAGCUUGACGAUGUUGCGGUGCCUUAUCUGUGUUAAAGCAUGAAUCUCGCUUUUGAAAGCUUUCAAAUCAGCCAUAUCUCCAUCUUCUGAUGAGUGAAGCUUUUUCACAGCAACAACCCGACCUGUUGGCAACUCAGCCUUGUAAACAGUACCAUAUCCUCCAGUGCCAAUACACUGUUUCGAACUGAAAUUGUCGGUCCCCUGUAUGAUGUGCUCAUACAACAAUUCCCCAUCAUGGCCCCAUAUUGCAAAUAGAUCUUCGACAUCUGCUUCUGGAGACUUGUUUUUUCUCUUCCUCAAUUUUUGGAAAAGAAAAAAAAUGCCAAUAACAAAAGCAAGUAAGAACAAUAGACUGCUCACAAGUAGGAGUAUUACUAUCAAAACAGAAAACUUGUUGGCCUUCUUUCGACUAGCACUGCAUGGCUUGAGAUGAGUGACAUUAUUACCACACAGACCUUUAUUAUUUUUGAAUGCCUCAAAUGGAGCGAAGGCUUUGAUGUUGGGGAGAGGACCUUCCAACUGAUUGUAGGAUAUAUCAACAACUGUCAGGCUUAUCAGAUCAUCAAACGUGUGUGGGAUGGUGCCAGAGAGCCCGUUAUGGGAGAGAUUCAACGUUUCCAGGUACUGUAAUUCUCCAAGUAGCGGUGGUAUCUCUCCUAUUAGCAUAUUUUGACUAAGAUCGAGACUUUCAAGAUGAUGCAACUUUCCAAUUUCAUCGGGAAUGCUAUCCACAAAUCUAUUCUCGCUCAAGUUGAAGGACCUUAAUUUCCAGAAGUUUCCCAGUUGUUUGGGAAUUGAACCGCUUAUGUUGUUUGAUGCCAAGUCAAGAAUUUCAAGAUUGGAUAAGUUUCCCAAUUCCAAAGGAAUACUACCUGAAAGACUGUUGUUUCCUAAUAACAAUUUGAACAAUAAUGGCAACAUACCCAACUCUUUCAGGAUCUUCCCACUUAGAUGAUUGGCGGAGAGAUCAAGCUGUCGCAGCUGAGUUGCUUUCCCAAGUUGAGGCGGUAUAGCACCAGAAAUAUUGUUGUUGGAGAUGUUCAGGUUUGUGAGCAUGUGGCACUGCCCCCAUUUCUCAGAAAGCUCACCAUAAAAAUUGUUGCUGCUUAGAUCAAUAUAAUUUAGAGUUGGGUACACACCAAAACUUUCGGCUAUGUCCCCUGUCAAUUGAUUUCUUUCAAGCCUAACUCUGAAUAAGCUAGUGCAAUUUUUCAAGCCUUUUGGAAUAGGACCAGUGAAAUGAUUUCCAGAGGCUGUAAAGUUUUCAAGAACACUACCAAGGCAUAUCUCUUGUGGUAGUUGGCCAAUGAAGUUAUUCUCAACUAACUGUAAAGAUUUCAAAUGAGUGAUAUUAUUCAUUUCAAGAGGAAUCGCACCACUAAGCUUGUUGUGAUCAAGGAACAAAAAGGUUAAGCUGGACAAGUUUCCUAUGGAUGGAGGGAUUGGACCACUGAGACUAUUAGCUGCCAAGUCAAGAUCAUAAAGUGAUGUCAACAAUCCAAUUUCUUGAGGGAUGGAACCAGAAAGCUUGUUCUCAAAAAGAUAUAAAGUGGUUAAAUUUCUCAAGUUUCCAAUGGAUGGAGGGAUCGAACCAGUGAGACUAUUAGUUUCCAACUCAAGAUCUAUAAGUGAUGUCAACAAUCCAAUUUCUUGAGGAAUAGAACCAGAUAGUUUGUUUGUAUGAAGGUACAAAGUCGUUAAGUUCCUCAAGUUACCUAUCGAAGGAGGGAUUGGACCGAUGAGAUUGUUAAAUGACAAUUGAAGAUCAUUAAGAGAUCUUAACAAUCCAAUUUCUUGAGGGAUGAAACCAGAAAGCUCGUUCUCAAAAAGAUAUAAAGUGGUUAAAUUUCUCAAGUUUCCAAUGGAUGGAGGGAUCGGACCAGUGAGACUAUUAGUUGCCAACUCAAGAUCAUUAAGUGAUGUCAACAAUCCAAUUUCUUGAGGAAUAGAAUCGGAUAGUUUGUUUGUAUGAAGGUAUAAAGUGGUUAAGUUCCUCAAGUUACCUAUGGAAGGAGGGAUUGGACCAGUGAGAUUGUUAGUUGACAAUUGAAGAUCAUUAAGAGAUUUUAACAAUCCAAUUUCUUGGGGGAUGGAACCAGAAAGCUUAUUCUUGAAAAGAUGCAAAGUGGUUAAGUUCCUUAGGUUUCCUAUGGAAGGAGGGAUUGGACCAGUGAGAUUGUUAGUUGACAAUUCAAGAUCAUUAAGAGAUCUUAACAAUCCAAUUUCUUGAGGGAUGAAACCAGAAAGCUCGUUCUCAAAAAGAUAUAGAGUGGUUAAGUUUCUCAAGUUUCCUAUGGAUGGAGGGAUUGAACCAGUGAGACUAUUAGUUGCCAACUCAAGAUCAUUAAGUGAUGUCAACAAUCCAAUUUCUUGAGGAAUAGAACCAGAUAGUUUGUUAGUAUGAAGGUAUAAAGUGGUUAAGUUCCUCAAGUUACCUAUGGAAUGAGGGAUUGGACCAAUGAGAUUGUUAGUUGACAAUUGAAGAUCAUUAAGAGAUCUUAACAAUCCAAUUUCUUGGGGAAUGAAACCAGAAAGCUUGUUCUUGAAAAGAUGCAAAGUGGUUAAGUUCCUCAAGUUUCCUAUGGAAUGAGGGAUUGGACCUGUGAGAUUGUUAGUUGACAAUUGAAGAUCAUUAAGAGAUCUUAACAAUCCAAUUUCUUGAGGAAUGGAACCAGAAAGCUUGUUCUCAAAAAGAUACAAAGUGGUUAAGUUCCUCAGGUUUCCUAUGGAAGGAGGAAUUGGACCAAUGAGAUUGCUAGUUGACAAUUGAAGAUCAUUAAGAGAUCUUAACAAUCCAAUUUCUUGAGGAAUGGAACCAGAAAGCUUGUUCUCAAAAAAAUGCAAAGUGGUUAAGUUCCUCAAGUUUCCUAUGGAAUGAGGGAUUGGACCAAUAAGAUUGUUAGUUGACAAUUGAAGAUCAUUAAGAGAUCUUAACAAUCCAAUUUCUUGAGGGAUGGAACCAGAAAGCUCAUUCUCAAAAACAUACAAAGUAGUUAAGUUUCUUAAAUUACCUAUGGAAGGAGGAAUUGGGCCUCUAAAAUUAUUAGAAGACAAUGCUAGAACACUAAGAGAUGUUAGAAAUCCAAGUUGGGGAGAUAUUACACCAGUGAAAUGAUUGAAAGCAAAGUUAAGAUUUGUGAUUCGUUUGGAAAGAUUACCAAUGUUGAUUGGAAUGGUUCCAUAAAGGGAGUUGUUAUAAAGAUUAAGAGUGAGAAGGUUAGGGAGUGAUGAGAAAUUGAGAUUGUGGAGUGUACCUCUCAAACCGCAAUUGUCAAGUUCUAAAUUGGAGACACUUCCUGACUUGUGACAAGUUAAUCCAAACCAAUGAUAGCAAGAAUUGCGUCCAGACCAAGAAGAGAGGAAAGAUUGGGUUUGAUUAUCAAGACUGGCUUUCCAUGUUAGAAGAGCGAGUCUUUCUUGAUCUUUUUCAACUUUUGAAAGAGAAGUGGUAGGUGUAGAGGCAGAUAUAGAAGUGACAUGGAAUGAUGAUAUUGAGUAUAGAAGGACAAGGAGAAAUAUGAAGUAGUAAGGAGUGAUAAAGAGUCGAGAGAGUAAGGAGUAGGAUGAAGAAUAUUCAAAGGCCAUUGUUGAAUUGGUAGAAAUGAAGUUAUUAAGAGGUUUACAUGGAGGGAAGGAUGAAGAUGAAACACUUAUUUAUAGACUUAAAUGUGAUACAUCCAACAUUUCCAUUAGUUGGUGUUGACAUCUAACCACCUCUUUCAUCUACAAAUAAUGGAAUUAAAAAGGAUUAUAUACAUGAGCUCAAUUCCACACAUAUUUUAUUUCAUUUUAUCGAAAUGCUCUGAAUUUUUCAAUUAAAAUUUACACCUACAAUUACAUAUGAAAUAAUUAAAAAUAUUUCUUUUCCACUCUAUGCACUUUUAAAUAUAACUUGUUUAAAAUUAAUAAUUACAAUUCAUUUUAAGAAGUAAGGACCAAAUAUGCCCACGUCAACAACCUAGUUGAUACAGGAAGUUCACUUUAACCAACAUUACUCCUUGUUUGGAUUGAAUUCUUUUAACUAUUUUGCCCUGAGAGAAAUAAACUUUUUUAACUCUAUUAGUUCUUUCAUAAUUUUUAUCCUUACAAUAUGAACUAUCUUAUUUCUCUUAAUAUUUUAUAAAUCAUUUAUGUUAUAUUUCAAAACCAAAUUAGUUGUCAUUUCUUGUACUUCUUUCCUAGACAAAUGCAUAAUUUGUGGUUGAUGUUUAUCAUUUUUAUUAAAGGUGUUCACAAUUUGUAAGUGAGACCCAUCAUCUAUGAAAAAUAUAGACAUGCUUUUUUUUCAUUUGGAAGUCUUAAGGAACUAGUAUUUGAACCACAACAAGGACUAAGGACUAACAAAUUUUCACUUUGUUUUUCAUCCAAAUAAGACACACAAUUGUUUUUGUAUUAUCUAUUCUAAGCCAAGGGGCUUUCAAGGCUUUAAAAUGCAUCUCUAAAGUUAAGAGGAGCCCAACAUAUAUAUCAUCAUGAGCUUUUUUCCCUAUUCAACGUGAGAUGUCACAAAAAUUGUUCAACAAGAUUAAUGCAUUUGUGAAGCUCAGAAGAAUCACAAAAAUCAAAGGAAAAUAUUUUGGGAAUUACAACAUAAAACAUGCAGGACCCAUGUACACAUGCAUUUUCCUUAUCAAACAGUUGUCUUGAAAAGCCAUUCUAAAGCCCACUUGGCUUCCCAUCACUAGUAAUGGACCAACAUCAUUCAAAUUCUCAAUGCUCUUGAAAGGCCAUAUGCACUUGAAGUAAAAAGAGAUUGAAUUUUUGUUAGAUAGUUUGUUUUUGCUAUUUGGGAACAUAUUUUUCUUUUCUUUUUUUUGUUCUUUUUUCUUUUUAAUAGAACGUUUACAUGGUAGCCUGCUCCAAUCCCCUUACGAAACUUUUGUUAUUAGGUUAGCCAUACACUUCACAUGUUUGUUUCUAGCGAUUCACAUGGUAUAAUCAAAUGAUACAAGUCUUGGAUAAGAAUCUACAAUGCACUAGAACACCCUUGUUGAUGAUCCUUUACUCCGAUAGUGUCUAGAGUUCCUCGAACAAUAUGAUAUCUCACAUUGGGUAAAUCCUUAACCCUUCCCCCUCUUACUAAGACUACAAAAUGUUCUUGUGAAUUAUGGCCAAUACCAGGUAUAUAAGUAGUGAUUUCAAAUCCAGAGGUUAAUCGUACUCUGGCAACUUUACGUAAGGCAGAGUUUGAUUUUUUUGGGGGUGAUAGUAGAAAAGUUGACAGAUAAGUCACCCUUACUAGAGUGUAAAAUCCUUUAUUUUUUGUUCAAAUUUUAGCUUUGCAAUUAGAGUCAAUACAUCUCGUAUUCAAUUCAAUCCUCAUAUUUUCUGGACUCCUAAAUUCUAAACCCUAUCUGGGUUUUCCAGUUUUGUGAAAAAUCACAUCAUAUGGACCUGACAGGAUGGGAUUUGAUUCAAUGUUAGAGACAAAAUUUUGGAAAAAUCUGCAAAACCCUCAACAGUUGUGGCCAUACCAUAGCUCAAGACCAAGAUGAGAAUUUACAAUCUAAUAAUGCUGAUGAAUGCUUCAUAGACUGCUCUACAAAACUAGAGUUUGUCAGAAGGCCUGUCCUUUGUUGAAAGACGUGAAGGUCGCAGGAAGAACCUAGGCCGAAAGUAAUCAGCAAAGGAUAAGAACACCAGGAUUAUUUCACAUUGAAACACUUUACUCCAACUACUCUGGUUAAACGAAUUCAUCCUAGAGUAAGCAUGUGAAGAUAGCAACCUUGUUAUAGACUUAAAUGUGAUACAUCCAACAUUCCCAUUAGUCGGUGUUGACAUCCAACUACAUCUUUGUCUACAACUAAUGGAAUUGAAAAAUUAUAUAGCUCAAUCCUGCACUUAUUUUAUUUUAUUUUAUCAAAGUGCUCUUGGAAUUGAAAAGGAUUAUAUAGCUCUUAAGUUUUAUUAACAUGAGUGCAAAUUAAUUUUAAUUUUGAAAAAGUUUUACUAAUUGGUGGAAAAUUCUUCCUCGAAUUAUAUGUGGAUAUGAAUUACUUGGAUAAAAUUUGGAGCUUUGUUGAUAUCAUGUUAGUGACUUAUUUUGUUGAGAUAUAUAGUUAUAAGACAAAUCUCAGCCAACUUUCUUUUUUUCUUAGAAAGACAAAGCUCAUUGCAAUGAAUAAUGGGAUCCAGAGAUGUAUAAAAGUGUGCAUUUUUACUUAAAAAAAAUGUGUUCCAUGACUAGCAUGUAUUUCAAAUUUAAGCUCAAACAAAAAGACCACUCAAUCCACUAAGAGCUCUUUAGAGAUGAAAACAACAUAAUAAUUGAAAACAAAAAUAAACUCAUUGAUAUGAAAAUAAAAAAUAUAUUUAUUUUGUUAUAAAAACUAUGAUAUCACAGAUUAAUUUGAAUGUGAAGUGAACUGGACUAUUGACUCUUUAAUUAAUAAAUCAAUUAAUUUUUAUAGUACUUUUUUUAUUAAAACAAUUCCUUAAUUGUGAAGUAAAUUUUACUUAUCUAUUCAUAUGUAUUUGAUAAAAUUAACCUUAAUGGGAUAGAAACAUCAUGCAAUUCAUUUUGUUUUUAUCAACAAUUCUUAUAAAGAGAUCACUUAAGGGAGAGAACUCACAUCAUCAAUGCUGAGUAGUUAUCACAAAGUGAUUAAAAUUUUUUUCCUAAAAAAAAAAUAUAUUUUUAUGAAAAUUGCUUUUAUUUAAAAUCAAUCAUAAUAUAAAUCAUGUUUUUAUUUUUUUUAUUAAGUUAAUAAGAUUUAAAAUUAAAAUAAAUUUUACAAAAUCAGUAAAUGUUUAUAUAUAUAAAAAAAUCAAAUGGCUCCACUCAUCCAUUAUUCAUGAUUGAUUGAACAAUGUAAAGAUGACAGUAUCUUCUAUGUAUAAUUUAAACACUCUCACCCUAGACUUUUAUACAUGAAUAGCUAUUAGAAAAUACAAAAUUUAAUGCAAAAAUUGGACUGAGGGAGUAACAUAACCUCAUCAAUGCUUGUAGUUGAUACAUAAAUAGAUUGAAGAGGAUACAACUACCAUCACAAAUAAUAAAUGAAAAAUAAUUAAUAUAACCAUAAUUUAGUUUUUCUUUUGUUUAAAUAAUCAACUAUUCUAGUUGGGGAAUGGAUCAUAUAUGGGGUCCAUGAAUUAAAUUAUUGUACAAAAUGUCUUACAAGAAAAAUGUUACUUAGCUUACGAUUUAUACAUUUGCUUUCAAUUAACUAAUGGUUCUAAUAUAUAAGUGUUCAUUUGGAUAAAGUUCUUAUUUUCCAGUUUUAAAAAUAAAAAAUAGUAAUAACUUCUAUUGAAAAUAUAAAAAAUCAUCUAACUCUUAAGACACAACUACCAUCACAAAUAAUAGACAAAAAUAAUUAAUAUAACCAUUGUGAGGUUGUUCUUUUGUUCAAAUAAUCAACUAUUUUAGUUGGGGAAUGGACCACACAUAUGGGGUCCAUGAAUUAAAUUAUUGUACAAAAUGUCUCCAAGAAAAAUGUUAUUUAGAUUAUUAUUUAAACAUUUGCUUUCAAUUAAUUAAUUGUAUUAAUAAUUGAGUGUCCAUUUGGAUGGAGUUCUUAUUUUCUAGUUUUAAAAAUAAAAAAUAGUAAUAACUUCUAUACAAAACAUAAAAAGUCUUCGAGUCUUAACACACAACUACCAUCACAAAUAAUAGACGAAAAACAAUUAAUAUAGUCAUUAUGAGGUUGUUCAUUUGUUCAAGCAAUCCACUAUUCUAGUUGGGGAAUGGACCACAUAUGUGGUCCAUGAAUUAAAUUAUUGUACAAAAUGUCUCACAAGAGAAAGGUUAUUUAGCUCACUAUUUAUAUAUUUGCUUUCAAUUAAUUAAUUUUUACUAAUAAUUAAGUGUCCAUUUGGAUGGAGUUUUUAUUUUUCUAGUUUUAAAAAUAAAAAACAGUUACAACUGCUAUAUAAAAGACAAAAAGUCUUCUAGUUUUAAGACACAACUACCAUCACAAAUAAUAGAUGAAAAACAAUCAAUAUAACCAUAAUGAGGUUGUUCUUUUGUUCAAAUAAUCAACUAUUCUAGUUGGGGAAUGGACCAUACAUGGGGUCCAUGAAUUAAAUUACUGUAUAAAACAUCUCACAAUAAAAAUGUCAUUUAGCUUACUAUUUAUACAUUUCCUUUCAAUUAAUUAAUUAUACUAAUAAUUAAGUGUCCUUUUGGAUGGAGUUAUUUUCUAGUUUUAAAAAUAAAAAUAGCAAUAACUUCUACAUGAAAUAUGAAAAGUCUUUGAGUCUUAUAUCCAAAAUGUAGUGCCUUUUAAACUUGAUUUGAAAAAAAAAAUAUUAAAAAAAAUUACUAUUUGGAAUUUUAAAUUUUUUGAAAAAUAUUUUUCAAAAUGUAAGGUAAGUCUAUAUUUUUUGUAUAUGAAUAUAUGUUUUUUAGAUAAAGUUUUCUUUUGUAAAAGAUAAAAAAUAGAAAAUAUAUCUAAAUGGAACAUAAAUGCUUACAUAAAAAUUAUCAAACAAUGAAAUGUUACUUAAAUCUGUAGUUAAAAAAUUAUAAUAGAGAACUCGUAAGCAAAAAAGUAUAUAUACUUAGUAAAGAGAAUUAAGACUAAUUAAUUGCAAAGAAAUUGUGACACAUUCAUGGGUAAAUCCAACACAUGUUUAGUGCAUGGCCCAAGUUUGUUAAAAUACUAUCAAAUAAUAAAGUUAUUAUGAACUCAAGAACUUCGGAUUACCAAAACCAACCUAAAUAAUUGGUCAUGCAUGACCUAUUUUAAAGUCUUUGCCAAUCCUGAAGUUAACUUGAAAAUUGUGUAAACAUGUUUCUUAGAAAUACACAUUUCAAACUCUCUCAAUCUUUCUUUACCAAAAACUCAAUACACCCUUUUUGUACCUCUCUUUACUCUUUGCUUAGUUUUUCCUUCUCUAUAAAAAUACUAAAUAAAGUCACAUAUUUAUGGAGUCCUAUUGGUUAACCCUAGACCAAUAGUUUCCCAAUCCUUUGUUAAGUUCAAAAGUAACUUACCAAAACAUACACACUAUAAAUAUUUACUCUCCAAAAAAUAAAUAUUAAAAUAAUUUGAGUCAAUGCACUCAACUGAAUCAUCGAUAACCAUAAUUUCUAGGGAUACAAAAUUGUUUAACAAGAUUAAUGCAUUUGUGAGGCUUAGAUGAAUCACAAAAAUUAGAGGAAAAUCUUUUGGGCAUUACCACAUAAAAGAUGUAGGACCACAUAUGCAUUUUCCUUAUAAAACAAUUGUCUUGACAAGCCACUUUAAAGCCCACUUGGGCUUGCCAUCACCAUUGAUGGACCUACAUCAUUACAUCAUUCAAAUUCUCGAUGCUCUUAAAGGUGGUAUCCACUUGAAGGUAAAAGGAUUCCAAUUUUUGUUAGAUUGUUUGUCUUUUCUAUCUGGAAACUAUUUUUCUUUUCUUUCUUUUUUAUAUCACAUUUACUCUCCUAGAAUGUAAAAUUCUCUGUUCUCUGUUCAGAUAUCAGCUUUCCAAUUGGAAUUAAUACAUCUAGUAUUCAAUUCAAUCCUCAUCCUUUUCUGGCCUCCUAAAUUCUAAACUUUGUCUAGGUUUUCCAGUUUUAAGAAAAAAUACAUCAUGAGGACCCAACAUGAUGGGAUUAGAUUCAAUGUUAAAGACAAAAUUUUCAAAUAAUCUGCAAAACCCCUCAACAUUUGUGGCUAUAGUUCACGACCAAGGUGGGAAUUAACAAUCUAAUAAUGCGGAUGAAUGCUUCAUUGACAGCUCUACCAGACUAGACUUCGACGGAAUGCAUGAUAACAAAUUUACAUGGAGAAGUGAGGACCCUUGGCUAGUUUCACCCCCAUGACCAUGGCCCAGCAGCCCAGCAGCUCAUUCAAUGUAAUCAUGGAAAACGCUUUUGACAAUGGUGGCCAUUGUGUUGAGAGUGCUCUGUCAAUUUGUUGCAUAGUUGGCCGAGAUUGGGGAUUAACAUGCAAGCAUGCAAAUGCUAAUUUGACUGCAAGUGCUACUUCCUUAGCCACUUAAUUCACAGGAGGUGGGAGCCGCUGGUCCAUCACAUCAUUCAACAGGCAAUGGUCCACAGUUGAUGGUGAUGAGGAUGAUGAGGACGCUGAUGAUAACAGGGAUAAGAUGAGUUCUUCAGGGUGCUUUCCCAUAAUUACUUCCAAUGUUACCACUCUGAAGCUAUGAACAUCGGUUUUAUUAUCCACCUUCAUCUUGUAAGCAAGUUUUGCAAAGAAGAUUAGCUCAUGCUCUUCUCUACUAAGCAAUUGUGAAAGUUACAUAUGAUGUAUAGAGGUCGUUUAGAGAUAAGCAAGGCACUAAGUAAAAUGUACCUGGAGCAGUUUAACCAAAAGUUCCUGCCAUUGAAGUCCAAUUAGACGAGUCUGACUUUAAAAACCUAGUCGUGCUGAAGUCAGAUACAUGAGCUUCAUAUUCUGAAUCUAACAACACAUUGUUGCUCGAUAUGUCUUGAUGAAUUAUGGGAGGUGAACAAUCAUGGUGCAUAUAGGAUAAAGCUUUAGCCACGCCUUUAACAACAUUUAGCCUCACCAUCCAAUCUAAUUUUUCUGCUUCUUCGUC
rnacentral:lncRNA from 1 species